rnacentral:tRNA from 2 species
GUUUUAAUAGUUUAAAAAAAACAAUGAUCUUGUAAAUCAUAAAUAGGUAAAUCUAAACCUUUAAAACU